rnacentral:rRNA from 1 species
GACGUAGGGGGCGAGCGUUGUCCGGAAUUACUGGGCGUAAAGAGCACGUAGGCGGGACUUUAAGUCAGGUGUGAAAGACCGAGGCUCAACCUCGGGGUUGCACUUGAAACUGGAGUUCUUGAGGGCAGGAGAGGAAAGCAGAAUUCCUGGUGUAGCGGUGAAAUGCGUAGAAAUCAGGAGGAAUACCAGUGGCGAAGGCGGCUUUCUGGACUGACCCUGACGCUGAGGUGCGAAAGCGUGGGUAGCAAACAGGAUUAGAUACCCUGGUAGUCCACGCCGUAAACGAUGGAUACUAGGUGUAGGAGGUAUCGACCCCUUCUGUGCCGCAGCUAACGCAAUAAGUAUCCCGCCUGGGGAGUACGAUCGCAAGGUUGAA